GAUCCUGGCUCAGGAUGAACGCUAGCGACAGGCUUAACACAUGCAAGUCGGAGGGGCAGCAUGAUUUGUAGCAAUACAGAUUGAUGGCGACCGGCGCACGGGUGAGUAACGCGUAUGCAACUUACCUAUCAGAGGGGAUAGCCCGGCGAAAGUCGGAUUAAUACCCCAUAAAACAGGGGUCCCGCAUGGGAAUAUUUGUUAAAGAUUCAUCGCUGAUAGAUAGGCAUGCGUUCCAUUAGGCAGUUGGCGGGGUAACGGCCCACCAAACCGACGAUGGAUAGGGGUUCUGAGAGGAAGGUCCCCCACAUUGGUACUGAGACACGGACCAAACUCCUACGGGAGGCAGCAGUGAGGAAUAUUGGUCAAUGGCCGAGAGGCUGAACCAGCCAAGUCGCGUGAAGGAAGAAGGAUCUAUGGUUUGUAAACUUCUUUUAUAGGGGAAUAAAGUGGAGGACGUGUCCUUUUUGUAUGUACCCUAUGAAUAAGCAUCGGCUAACUCCGUG
rnacentral:rRNA from 1 species